ensembl:lncRNA
CCAACCACCCAUACGCCCACCCGUCCACCCCAACCACCCAUACGCCCACCCGUCCACCCCAACCAACCAUACGCCCACCCGUCCACCCCAACCAACCAUACGCCCACCCGUCCACCCCAACCAACCAUCCUACUUUCCUUUUUGCCUUAAGUAACCAUCUGUCUUAUGUAACCAUACCAAACGUAACAUAUCAUACUAAUUUGAAUGUCCCGGAUUUAGGUUUACUAUGUUACGUCUAGUCUAUGAAAACAGGCUGAAGAUAUGGAUGAUCCCGUAUGCCAAUGUCCCAGGAAAGGGGAAUGACUGAAAAGAGUCCUGUGUUAUCUGUUUGACUGAUGGUCUGUCUAGACAGUGUCUCCUACAAUAUCGGUGCUGUUUGAUAAAAUCUCAACCUUCCAGUAGACUUUAGCGGUCUGCAGUGUUUUGGUCCAUAAACAGGGAUUAAAUAAAACCAGGAGUGUCCUUGAGUGGACCUCAAAGCCCGAGUUUGAUUACAGAGUUGGGUAUGUUUAUCUUAGUUUUUACUAUUGAAUUAGUUGUUUUACUUUGUGCAGGUAUUGCCAUAUUCUGAAAAUAAUGACGAUAUACUGUAGCUACAGUAGAUCUGAUACAUCAAAACAAAUAUAGUUUAUUUAGUUAACAUUUCUCUCUUCUUCGGUUUUAAAAUUACUAUAACAUGAGGUCAAAUCAUUUUCAUGGAAUGAUGCACUUUAUCUAUUAAACUAAUAUCAGUAUUUAGAAUUUUGACCAAGUCCCCCCUCCAUAGUUUAAUAUGAUCAGUCAUAAAGUGCACGGUUACCAUAUUAGGACAGCCUAGUCCUUCUGUGACUGAGGCUGUCCUAAUAUGUACUCCGUAAUGUUUGCUUUUGUGACGUUAUCUCUUUAUACCUGCCAUGAAAAUGUUACUUUUGAUGCAGUUUACUGUCUGAUUUGCUGUAGUAACUGAAUUUCAAUGCCUCUGGUGCAGUUUACUGUCUGAUUUGCUGUAGUAACUGAAUUCCAAUGCUUUUGGUGCUCAUUUUGUCAUAACAUGUAAUGUAUCAUAUAUACUGCAGUUAAUUUAUUCAAGGCUACAAUUUGCAAUACUUUUUAUAUUGAUUAAACAUAUAAAACAAA